AGUGAACGCUGGCGGCAGGCCUAAUACAUGCAAGUCGAACGGCAGCACAGUAAGAGUUUGCUCCUACGGGUGGCGACUGGCGGACGGGUGAGGCAUACAUCGCAAUCUUCUUAUUCGUGGGGGACUACGGAGGGAAACAUACGCUACUACAGCAUACAACCUACGGCUGAAAUCAAGGGAUCUACGCGCUUUUCGCGUCUGUAUGAGCUGAAGCCGUGUCGGAUUAGCUAGUUGGUAAGGUAACGGCUUACCAAGGCGACGAUGCGUAGCCGACCUGAGAGGAUGAUCAGCCACACUGGAACUGAGACACGGUCCAGACUCCUACGGGAGGCAGCAGUAGGGAAUAUUCGGCAAUGGGCGAAAGCCUGAUGCAGCAAUGCCGCGUGAGUGAAGAAGGCCUUCGGGUUGUAAAGCCCUUUUGUUGGGAAAGAACAGCAGCGGAUGAAUCCCCGGAUGUUCUGACGGUACCCAAUGAGUAAGCACCGGCUAACUUCGUG
rnacentral:rRNA from 1 species